ensembl:lncRNA novel transcript
GGGGAGAGAGUGGCAUUGAAGAAAAGGAGGGUAUCAGCCAAACUGUCUGAGGUGAGGAAGAUCUCAUAUAAUGUUGCAGUCACAGAAAGGUGUCAGGCAGCUGACCAAGGGUGGUGACUUCCCAUUCCCAAAAGUCAAGGAGGAUUUAACAUCAAGCACGAAGGCUCACUACAGAGAAAUAAGAGCAAAGAACAUCAAUGAUUUGAUGAAACCAUGUGGCAUUUUAUAGAAAUGGAUAAAGAGGAAAUUGGCUAACAAAGAUGAAUGUGCAGCAAAGAAACCAAAGUGAAAAUAUUGAAAUGUGAGGAUAAUGUAAAUGGAGUUAUAGAAGAAAUAGCUGAUGUGAAAAUGUUGAUAAGGCCAUCGUUGGAAACACUAGAUAUACAGCUGGAGCAAAGCAAGAGGUGAACUUACCAACAUAAUAGGGAAAGUGGCCAUGAUUAAAGGAUAAAUAUGUUCCAGAAGAAUUGACACUGGCAAUAACAACUUCACAUUAAAGCCACACUUAGAGAUGCUUCAUGACAUGGAAAGCACAAAGCAUAAAAUUUUGGAAGCUGAUUCAAAGUUGGAAAGGAAUAUGACAAUUUGCCAAGGCAUAACAAAGAUGCUUGAUUCAUACGAAGAAUUAUAAAUGAGAGGAAGGCAAGCACUGUUUUGAACUAUUCUCGUAUGGAGAUGUUGCUGGACAAUGGCUGCCCCUUCAAGGACUAUUAUUUCCCAGCCUCUCCCCCUUGCAUCCAGGUAGACCCUGUUACCGAUGCAUGUCUACGUUACCUCUAGGAGACAGGUGGCUGACCCAUGCAUUGUACUGUAUGUCCACGGGCUUUCCAGGUUAAUUCUGCAUACGGGACAUAAUAAAAAGGCGCUUUUAGAGAGAGAGCUGGGCACUCUGUGGAGUUUCUUUAUAUGACCUGAGGCCUUACUCUAGUGGCACAGUUAAUACUGG